AUGUCUGCUUUCAGGAGUCUGCUAUCGAGCCGCACCGCCAUGUUUGCCGUUACAGGAUUCGUCGUCGGGGCUUUAGUUACGAAGGUUGCUAGAAACGCUUUUGAAUACUUCUAUGGAGAAAACGAGGAUUCAUCCAGUUUGGUCCAACCACAGCGUGAGACCACGUCUGAAGUUGGAUUUGAAGUCGUUCCCAGCUUUCUCAGGGACGACGACCCGUCGUCGGUUUUAAAAGGUGAAAAAACGGAUUCUAGUUCCCGGAGAACUGCUAGAGAAUCAUCUGUGGUCCAUAAAUACUCAAAGGACUCACUGACUGAAAUAACGAGUUCACCCGGGGCUUCUGCAGAAGAUCUGAGCUACAAGAAAAUGAAAAUCGCUGUUGUCGCAGAAGAAGCGUUUACACCGAACACAGCUGAACUCCUGGUGGCUUCAGAUGAUUUGUUUGAGGAGAAAUGUGACGAUAAGUCUGGGAUUUCUGAUCAAGGAGACGGUUUUCUCCAGAUGUGCUUUGAGAAUCCAGAGACGGUCGCUACGCUGGUUUCACACGACCCAGAAACACCAUCGCCUCCUAGCGUGUCCUCCAGUCUUGUUGAUCCUCAGGGGGACUUUGAAUCUCAGGGAAUCUUAGAGAAUGGAGCUGAAACGUCUUUAGCUUCAGCAACGGGAGGUGACUCCACGUUUUUCACUGACGAGGAGGACAUGAAUUUAUCUGACCAAGAAGACGAUCUCCAGUUGUCCUUAGAUGGGAGCGACACAAACGUUUUAGUCUCUCCAAAGGAAAGUUUCAGAGAACGGGAAUUAGAAGCGUCGGUUUCACAACAGGAGUUAGGAGAGGAAUCUCAAACAUCAGACUCUUCAGAUGAAAGUGAUGACAGCGUGCCUCUUAAUUCUGAAGAUGCCAUAAACUGGUCUGACACUGAAUUUCUGGAUUUGCCGUCCUUUCACCAAAGUGAGGAGAAAUGUGAAGAUAAGUCUGGGAUUUCUGAUCAAGGAGACAGUUUUCUCCAGAUGUGCUUUGAGAAUCCAGAGACGGACGCUACGCUGGUUUCACACGACCCAGAAACACCAUCAGAAUCAUCUUUGCUUUCAGGUGGGAGCAGUUACUCUGAAUUUGUAGAUUCUGGUGAAGUGAGUUCGACUUUGUCAGACAAUCAGAUGUCCUUUGAAAGUGACGCCGAAAACACGAAUGAGGAACUUUUAGAGGAAGUCAAACCGGAGUCAUCGAUUUCAGAUGAAGAAGAUGAAUCUGUAUUACCCGUUUUAGAUGAAGAAUCAGAACUUUUCACACCUGAAACGUCGAUUUCAGAUUCAGAUGACAGAUGGUUAGAUCGAUGCCGAAAACACCUUCUGGAGUCAUCAUCUUUUCAUGAAAGUGACCCUAAUCAUGUUCAAAGUUAUUUGGAGAUGUUAAAAGAACUGCGAUAUACAUUCUUGUCAAAAUUAAGCCAACAGGAGUUAGGAGAGGAAUCUCAAACAUCAGACUCUUCAGAUGAAAGUGAUGACAGUGUGUCUCUUAAUUCUGAAGAUGCCAUAAACUGGUCUGACACUGCAUUUCUGGAUUUGCCGUCCUUUCACCAAAGUGAGGAGAAAUCAUUGUGGGCUUCAAAAGACAAGAGCAAAGAUGUCUCAGGUGUGUCGAGAGCAUCUGAGCCGUCUUCAAAGACGGUUUCUCGCUGUGGUAGACCGACAAAACGUGUUAAAUGGGCAGAUGAAGUUGGUUUUUCUCUCACUGCAGUGGAAUAUUGUUGGAAUAACAAUGCAGUAUCAUUCCUCUCAGGGAAAAAGCAGGAACGUUAUCCCAAAAAUGUAAAAUCAGAAGCGUUAGACGAAAUGUCUUCAGAUUCAAACGAAGAAACGAGUGACGACGAGACGUCUGACUUCUCAGAAGACGAACUAGGUGGGGAUGAAGAUGAAAAGUCUCCAGCUUCAGAAGAAAGAGACGCAAAAUCUUCUCUGAACAGUUUGGGUGAGGAGGAUGCUCCUCGAAGCUUGUCGUCCAGGACCUGGGACCACCCUCAGGACCCAGCCUGGCAUCAGCAGGAGAACAAGGAUGGAUGCACCAUGAGAGAUCAAACAUCAGCGACUGCAGAGGAGAACUCAGGAGGGAAUAAAGCAAGAGCCACAACGUUGAACACUCUGCUUCCUGGCAGGGAGACAGGGUCAGAGUCAUCACAUACACGCGGCAGGAAAACAUCUGUCACAUCUGGAAAAACCCUAAAAGGAAUCAGGCUGAAGUGGUCGAUGUUUAAGAAGAAAAUCAAGUCUAAAUUUCAGUAA
ensembl:lncRNA